CAAGUUGUUUAGAAGUUAAAGUUUUCAUUUACAUUGAAAUUUAUAUUGUGCAAUUCAAUAUAACUUGA
rnacentral:tRNA from 1 species